rnacentral:rRNA from 1 species
GAUGAACGCUGGCGGCGUGCUUAACACAUGCAAGUCGAACGAAGCAUUUUGAAAAGCUUGCUUUUUGAAAUGACUGAGUGGCGGACGGGUGAGUAACGCGUGGGUAACCUGCCUUAUACAGGGGGAUAACAGUUAGAAAUGACUGCUAAUACCGCAUAAGCGCACAGUACUGCAUGGUACAGUGUGAAAAACUCCGGUGGUAUAAGAUGGACCCGCGUCUGAUUAGCUAGUUGGUGAGGUAACGGCUCACCAAGGCGACGAUCGGUAGCCGGACUGAGAGGUUGACCGGCCACAUUGGGACUGAGAUACGGCCCAGACUCCUACGGGAGGCAGCAGUGGGGAAUAUUGGGCAAUGGGCGAAAAGCCUGACCCAGCAACGCCGCGUGAAGGAUGAAGGUCUUCGGAUUGUAAACUUUAGUCGUCGGGGACGAGAACGGACGGUACCCGAGGUGAAGGCCACGUCUAACUACGUG